rnacentral:rRNA from 1 species
GUGGGGAAUCUUCCGCAAUGGACGAAAGUCUGACGGAGCAACGCCGCGUGAGUGAUGAAGGUCUUCGGAUUGUAAAGCUCUGUUAAUCGGGACGAAAGAGCCUAGUGUGAAUAAUGCUAGGAAGUGACGGUACCGGAAUAGAAAGCCACGGCUAACUAUGUGCCAGCAGCCGCGGUAAUACGUAGGUGGCAAGCGUUGUCCGGAAUUAUUGGGCGUAAAGCGCGCGCAGGCGGAUCUGCCAGUCUGUCUUAAAAGUUCGGGGCUUAACCCCGUGAUGGGAUGGAAACUACAGAUCUAGAGUAUCGGAGAGGAAAGUGGAAUUCCUAGUGUAGCGGUGAAAUGCGUAGAUAUUAGGAAGAACACCAGUGGCGAAGGCGACUUUCUGGACGAAAACUGACGCUGAGGCGCGAAAGCCAGGGGAGCGAACGGGAUUAGAUACCCCUGUAGUCC